CAGCACUGUAUUGAACAUGA
rnacentral:miRNA from 1 species